rnacentral:rRNA from 1 species
UUUCCAGACUCCUACGGGAGGCAGCAGUCGGGAAUAUUGCGCAAUGGAGGAAACUCUGACGCAGUGACGCCGCGUAUAGGAAGAAGGUCUUCGGAUUGUAAACUAUUGUCGUUAGGGAAGAGAAAGGACAGUACCUAAGGAGGAAGCCCCGGCUAAAUACGUGCCAGCAGCCGCGGUAAUACGUAUGGGGCAAGCGUUAUCCGGAUUUACUGGGUGUAAAGGGAGCGCAGGCGGCGCGGCAAGUCAGAUGUGAAAGCCCGGGGCUCAACCCCGGGACUGCAUUUGAAACUGCCGUGCUGGAGUGUCGGAGAGGCAAGUGGAAUUCCUAGUGUAGCGGUGAAAUGCGUAGAUAUUAGGAGGAACACCAGUGGCGAAGGCGGCUUGCUGGACGAUAACUGACGCUGAGGCUCGAAAGCGUGGGGAGCAAACAGGAUUAGAUACCCCGGUAC